AUACGAAUAUGGCAAAGCCGUCGUGAGGCGGUGACGCAAAGCCAAGGGACUUGCAAAAGUCAGCCCGGUUGCAAUU
rfam:Firmicutes bacterium CAG:552 genomic scaffold, scf70